rnacentral:lncRNA from 1 species
CUUCGAAAUUUGUGAGUAUAAGGCCGGCUCCACUAUCUUGUACAUUAGAUGCUCUGUCGAUGUGCAGCACCCAGAUCGAUCUUAGGUCGGAUUCGGGAGUCGUAACCUGCUUUAUUGUAUUAUCAUCUGUAUCUUCUGGUUUAUUAUUGAAUAAUGUACAUUCUGCGACGAAGUCGGCCAGAACUUGUGCCUUCAUGGAC